GAUGAACGCUGGCGGCGUGCUUAACACAUGCAAGUCGAACGGUCGCAAGACAGUGGCGCACGGGUGAGUAACACGUAGCUAACCUGCCUUCGAGUGCGGAAUAACGCUCCGAAAGGAGUGCUAAUACCGCAUAAGCUCACGAGAAGUAAAUGCUUGUGAGAAAAGGAGUAAUCCGCUUGAAGAGGGGGCUGCGACCCAUC
rnacentral:rRNA from 1 species